rnacentral:rRNA from 1 species
GGCCUCGGCCGGUGAAGGAAAGGUGGGGAUCCGCAAGGACCUGCCACUCGAGGAGGGGUCUAUGUCCUAUUAGCCAGUUGGCGGGGUAACGGCCCACCAAAGCUACGAUGGGUAGCCGGUCUGAGAGGACGAUCGGCCACACUGGGACUGAGACACUGCCCAGACUCCUACGGGAGGCUGCAGUCGAGAAUCUUCGGCAAUGGGCGCAAGCCUGACCGAGCGACGCCGCGUGUGGGAAGAAGGCCUUCGGGUCGUAAACCACUGUCAAGGGGGAUGAAAGGCGUCGGUACUAACAACACCGAUGUCGCGCCUGACAAAACCCUAGAGGAAGCACCGGCUAACUCCGUGCCAGCAGCCGCGGUAAUACGGAGGGUGCUAACGUUGUUCGGAUUCAUUGGGCUUAAAGGGCACGUAGGCGGCUGAUUAAGUCGGAUGUGAAAUCCCUCGGCUUAACCGAGGAACGGCAUCCGAAACUGGUCGGCUCGAGUGGAGAAGGGGAGAGCGGAACUUCUGGUGGAGCGGUGAAAUGCGUAGAUAUCAGAAGGAACGCCGGUGGCGAAAGCGGCUCUCUGGUCUCCUACUGACGCUGAGGUGCGAAAGCCAGGGGAGCAAACGGGAUUAGAUACCCCGGUAGUCCUGGCCGUAAACGAUGGGCACUAGGUAGAGGGAAUUCCGAUAUUCUCUCUGCUGGAGCGAAAGCGUUAAGUGCCCCGCCUGGGGAGUACGGCCGCAAGGCUGAAACUCAAAGGAAUUGACGGGGGCUCGCACAAGCGGUGGAGUAUCUGGGUCAAUUCGAUUCAACGCGAAGAACCUUACCUAGGUUUGACAUGCUCGUGGUACGGACCUGAAGGGGCGAGGACCGGGGAAACCCGGAGCGAGCACAGGUGCUGCAUGGCUGUCGUCAGCUCGUGUCGUGAGAUGUUGAGUUAAGUCCCGUAACGAGCGAAACCCUUGUCCCUAGUUACCAGCGGGUCAUGCCGGGGACUCUAGGGAGACUGCCGGUGCCAAACCGGAGGAAGGUGGGGAUGACGUCAAGUCAUCAUGGCCUUUAUGCCUAGGGCGCCACAGGUACUACAAUGGCCGACACAAAGGGAAGCAAGACCGUAAGGUGGAGCAAAUCCCCAUAAAUCGGCCCCAGUUGGGAUUGGGGGCUGCAACUCGCCCCCAUGAACCCGGAAUCGCUAGUAAUCGCGGAUCAGCCAUGCCGCGGUGAAUGUGUUCCC